CAGAAAGAGACACUUUAAUAUGAAGGAAUCGAACAGCUUCAGGAAGCUAUAGGCAUCCACUGAUUCAAACUGCAAUGAGCCCAGUGCUCGGUUCCCUGCUUGGUUGAUGUGGGGUUUUGUGGGCUCAGGGCAGGAGGUUUGUUAAAGUAGAGAAAUGGGAGUGUGACUUUUUCAGAAGGUGAGUUACGCGUUCCGGGCAGUCAGUGCACUGCUCAGCAGGAGGAGGUCCUGCAGGUGGUGCUGCAAGGGGUCGGCUGGCCGCAGGGGGACUGCACAGACACAGGCUGGCAGCAGGUGGUGGCUCAGCAGGAGGAGGUCCUGCAGGUGGUGCUGCAAGGGGUCGGCUGGCCGCAGGGGGGCCGGCAGCAGGGGGACUGCACAGACACAGGCUGGCAGCAGGUGGUGGCCCAGCAGCAGGGCCUGCACACC
rnacentral:lncRNA from 1 species